rnacentral:rRNA from 1 species
GAUGAACGCUAGCUACAGGCUUAACACAUGCAAGUCGAGGGGUAACGAGAGGAAAGCUAGCUUUCCUUGUCGACGACCGGCGCACGGGUGAGUAACGCGUAUCCAACCUGCCCCCAACUAAGGAAUAACCUUGCGAAAGUAAGACUAAUACCUUAUAAUUUCCUCAGAUGACAUCUGACGAGGAAUAAAGAUUUAUCGGUUGUGGAUGGGGAUGCGUCUGAUUAGCUUGUUGGCGGGGUAACGGCCCACCAAGGCAACGAUCAGUAGGGGUUCUGAGAGGAAGGUCCCCCACAUUGGAACUGAGACACGGUCCAAACUCCUACGGGAGGCAGCAGUGAGGAAUAUUGGUCAAUGGGCGGAAGCCUGAACCAGCCAAGUAGCGUGCAGGAUGACGGCCCUAUGGGUUGUAAACUGCUUUUAUACAGGAAUAAAGUUAGCCACGUGUGGUUAUUUGUAGGUACUGUAUGAAUAAGGACCGGCUAAUUCCGUGCCAGCCGCCGCAGUAA